UGUUGUCCUGGGGUAAGCAUGUAGGGCGGAACGUAGGUAAAUCCGUGUUCUAUUCAGCCUGAGAUGUGAUGCCGAGCCGAUUGUGGUGAAGUGGAUGAUCCUAUGCUGCCGAGAAAAGCCUCUAGUGAGUGUUGUGGCGGCCCGUACCCUAAACCGACUCAGGUGGUCAGGUAGAGAAUACCAAGGCGAUCGGGUGAACUGUGGUUAAGGAACUCGGCAAAUUGCCCCCGUAACUUCGGGAGAAGGGGGACCUCUGCUGGUGAUGGGCUUUACGUUCUGAGCUGGUGGGGGUCGCAGUGGCCAGGGGGAAGCGACUGUUUACUAAAAACACAGGUCCGUGCGAAGUCGUAAGACGAUGUAUACGGACUGACGCCUGCCCGGUGCCGGAACGUUAAGGGGACCGCUUAGCCAGCUUCGGUUGGCGAAGGUGAGAACUUAAGCGCCGGUAAACGGCGGUGGUAACUAUAACCAUCCUAAGGUAGCGAAAUUCCUUGUCGGGUAAGUUCCGACCUGCACGAAUGGCGUAACGACUUCCCCGCUGUCUCAACCACAGACCCGGCGAAAUUGCACUACGAGUAAAGAUGCUCGUUUCGCGCAGCAGGACGGAAAGACCCCGGGACCUUCACUACAGCUUGACAUUGGCGUUUGGAACGUCUUGUGUAGGAUAGGUGGGAGACUGGGAAGCUGUCACGCUAGUGAUGGUGGAGUCAUUGGUGAAAUACCACUCUGGUCGUUUUGAACGUCUAACUCUGGUCCGUGAUCCGGAUCGGGGACAGUGUCUGGUGGGUAGUUUAACUGGGGCGGUUGCCUCCUAAAGAGUAACGGAGGCGCCCAAAGGUUCCCUCAGCCUGGUUGGCAAUCAGGUGUUGAGUGUAAGUGCACAAGGGAGCUUGACUGUGAGACUGACAGGUCGAGCAGGAGCGAAAGCUGGGACUAGUGAUCCGGCAUCGGCGUGUGGAAGCGGUGUCGCUCAACGGCUAAAAGGUACCCCGGGGAUAACAGGCUGAUCUUCCCCAAGAGUCCAUAUCGACGGGAUGGUUUGGCACCUCGAUGUCGGCUCGUCGCAUCCUGGGGCUGGAGUAGGUCCCAAGGGUUGGGCUGUUCGCCCAUUAAAGCGGUACGCGAGCUGGGUUUAGAACGUCGCGAGACAGUUCGGUCCCUAUCCGCUGCGCGCGCAGGAGACUUGAAGGGGGCUGUCCCUAGUACGAGAGGACCGGGACGGACGAACCUCUGGUGUGCCAGUUGUACCGCCAGGUGCACGGCUGGUUGGCUACGUUCGGAAGGGAUAACCGCUGAAAGCAUCUAAGCGGGAAGCUCGCCUUGAGAUGAGGUCUCCCACCCUGUGAGGGGGUAAGGCUCCCGGUAGAUCACCGGGUUGAUAGGCCGGAGGUGGAAGCACGGUAACGUGUGGAGCUGACCGGUACUAAUAGGCCGAGGACUUGAUC
rnacentral:rRNA from 1 species